GAAAUGCGAUACGUAAUGUGAAUUGCAGAAUUCAGUGAAUCAUCGAAUCUUUGAACGCACCUUGCGCCCCUUGGCAUUCCGAGGGGCACACCCGUUUGAGUGUCGUGACAUUCUCAAAAAGAACCCUUCUCGGUCUUGCGAUCGGGAAAGGCCUCUUUUUGGACUUUGGAGGUUAUUGCUGGUCCCCCCUUGAUAGCCAGCUCCUCUUAAAUGAAUUAGUAGGGACCACUUUGCCGACCCUAGACGUGAUAAGAUGUUUCUGCGUCUUGGGUAUUCGCUCUGUCCUUUGGAAACCUGCUUCUAACCGUCUUGUCAAAAGACAGCGUUCGAGCCUUUCUCGUUGAUCGGGCAAGGCUUGACUUGACGAACCUUGACCUCAAAUCGGGUGAGACUACCCGCUGAACUUAA
rnacentral:ncRNA from 2 species